AGAGUUUGAUCCUGGCUCAGGAUGAACGCUAAGGCCUAACACAUGCAAGUCGAGGGGUAACACAUGCAAGUCGAACGGCAGCGCGGACUUCGGUCUGGCGGCGAGUGGCGAACGGGUGAGUAAUGUAUCGGAACGUACCUUUCAGUGGGGGAUAACGUAGCGAAAGUUACGCUUAUACCGCAUAUUCUGUGAGCAGGAAAGCAGGGGAUCGCAAGACCUUGCGCUGAUUGAGCGGCCGAUAUCAGAUUAGCUAGUUGGUGAGGUAAAAGCUCACCAAGGCGACGAUCUGUAGCGGGUCUGAGAGGAUGAUCCGCCACACUGGAACUGAGACACGGUCCAGACUCCUACGGGAGGCAGCAGUGGGGAAUUUUGGACAAUGGGGGCAACCCUGAUCCAGCCAUGCCGCGUGAGUGAAGAAGGCCUUCGGGUUGUAAAGCUCUUUCGGCCGGGAAGAAAUCGUACGGGCUAAUACCCUGUGCGGAUGACGGUACCGGCAUAAGAAGCACCGGCUAACUACGUGCCAGCAGCCGCGGUAAUACGUAGGGUGCGAGCGUUAAUCGGAAUUACCGGGCGUAAAGCGUGCGCAGGCGGUUUUGUAAGACAGGCGUGAAAUCCCCGGGCUCAACCUGGGAACUGCGCUUGUGACUGCAAGGCUAGAGUAUGGCAGAGGGGGGUGGAAUUCCACGUGUAGCAGUGAAAUGCGUAGAGAUGUGGAGGAACACCAAUGGCGAAGGCAGCCCCCUGGGCCAAUACUGACGCUCAUGCACGAAAGCGUGGGUAGCAAACAGGAUUAGAUACCCUGGUAGUCCACGCCCUAAACGAUGUCAACUAGGUGUUGGGUGGGUAAAACCAUUUAGUACCGUAGCUAACGCGUGAAGUUGACCGCCUGGGGAGUACGGCCGCAAGGUUAAAACUCAAAGGAAUUGACGGGGACCCGCACAAGCGGUGGAUGAUGUGGAUUAAUUCGAUGCAACGCGAAAA
rnacentral:rRNA from 1 species